GUCGAACUUUUAUUGGUAUUUAUAAGAGCAACAAGGGAAGGUAAUUGGGAACUUCAUUUGGCAUGUGUUGAAAAAAUGUUACCAUGGUUUUUCGCAUAUGACGUCAAAACUAUUCCCGAUACAUGUCAGUCUAUUUGCUUCAUAUGCAAAAUCUGCCAAAUACAUAUCCUGAUGCCCAUGUAUAUCUUUCAUCUGGUGGUUUUUGUGUUCAGAGAAGCUCUCAUGGAUUUUCUAGAUCUCCAGUUGACCAAACAAUCGAGCAAACGUUGAACAGAGAUACCAAAACAAGAGAUGGCAUUGUUGGUUUCAGUUUGAAUAAAGGUUCUGUUAAACGUUGGUUGCUAAAUGCACAUGAAAGAGCUUCAAUAUCAUCAAAAUGUCGAGAUUUGGCAUGAAU
rnacentral:lncRNA from 1 species